CGGGUGAGUAACACGUGAGUGACCUGCCCUUUAGACUGGAACAACUUACCGAAAGGUGAGCUAAUGCCGGAUGAGUUAUAUAAGUGCAUGUUUAUAUAGGAAAAGUUGGGGAGACCUGACGCUGAAAGAUGGACUCGCGUCCCAUUAGCUAGUUGGUAGGGUAAUGGCCUACCAAGGCGACGAUGGGUAGCCGGCCUGAGAGGGUGGCCGGCCACACUGGGACUGAGACACGGCCCAGACUCCUACGGAAGGCAGCAG
rnacentral:rRNA from 1 species